GGGGGCGCCUCACCCUGCCUUCCCCAUGGACAGUCCAGCAAUGUCUGCUUCCACUCCCCCUGUGUUUCCAGACCCAGAGAGUGAAGCAAAGCCAGAAUCAACCACCACACUAGAUAAAUAGCCAUUACUGUGACGAUGGAAUGCUGUCAGCGAGCAGCAUGGAAGACACAGAGAGAGUGGUGGUCAGGUGGUGGUGGAGACAGGGAGAGUAUGUGGCCUGGAGAUUAACAAACAGAACACCAAUAAUCUUGUGACCUCCAUGCACCCUUCCUAAUGUCAAUAAAGUUGUCUUAUCAUGCCCAAAA